rnacentral:rRNA from 1 species
UACGUAGGAGGCAAGCGUUGUCCGGAUUUACUGGGCGUAAAGGAUGCGUAGGCGGACAUUUAAGUCAGAUGUGAAAUACCCGAGCUUAACUUGGGUGCUGCAUUUGAAACUGGGUGUCUAGAGUGCAGGAGAGGUAAGUGGAAUUCCUAGUGUAGCGGUGAAAUGCGUAGAGAUUAGGAAGAACACCAGUGGCGAAGGCGACUUACUGGACUGUAACUGACGCUGAGGCAUGAAAGCGUGGGGAGCAAACAGG